ACAAACUUGGUCAUUUAGAGGAAGUAAAAGUCGUAACAAGGUUUCCGAGGAACAAGUAUGGAGGUGAUCCUUCCGCGUAACACUUGCCGAAGCCUUAGCGGCCCGAAAGGGUGUCCCUACGACUCUAAACAAGAAGGAGACUUGAACGCUAGUCCGGGCCUGCGCCCGGGCGACACUGCCAAAUUGCGGGAACACCCUAAAGACCUCAACACCAAGCGUCGCCGGAAACGGCGGCGGGGGCAAGCUAACACCUUCCCCCGUGGAAGUAACCGUUCCGUAGGUGAACCUGCGGAAGGAUCAUUACUGGGUUUUUGGGCUCUGCCCGCCACCCGCCCUCUGUUAUUCGUGACUAUUGUUUCGGCCCCCUCAAAAGGGCCGGCAGUAACUCUGAAGCAUCUUGAAGUCUGAUAAACUGUCAAUAAAAAAAACUUUCAACAACGGAUCUCUUGGUUCUGGCAUCGAUGAAGAACGCAGC
rnacentral:misc_RNA from 1 species